rnacentral:rRNA from 1 species
UAACACAUGCAAGUCGAACGAUGAACCGGCUUCGGCCGGGGAUUAGUGGCGAACGGGUGAGUAACACGUGGGCAAUCUGCCCUGCACUCUGGGACAAGCCCUGGAAACGGGGUCUAAUACCGGAUACUGAUUACCUUGGGCAUCCUUGGUGAUCGAAAGCUCCGGCGGUGCAGGAUGAGCCCGCGGCCUAUCAGCUUGUUGGUGAGGUAACGGCUCACCAAGGCGACGACGGGUAGCCGGCCUGAGAGGGCGACCGGCCACACUGGGACUGAGACACGGCCCAGACUCCUACGGGAGGCAGCAGUGGGGAAUAUUGCACAAUGGGCGAAAGCCUGAUGCAGCGACGCCGCGUGAGGGAUGACGGCCUUCGGGUUGUAAACC